rnacentral:rRNA from 1 species
CCUACGGGCGGCAGCAGUGGGGAAUAUUGCACAAUGGGGGAAACCCUGAUGCAGCGACGCCGCGUGAGUGAAGAAGUAUCUCGGUACGUAAAGCCCUAUCAGCAGGGAAGAAAAUGACGGUACCUGACUAAGAAGCCCCGGCUAACUACGUCUCAGCAGCCGCGGUAAUACGUAGGGGGCAAGCGUGAGCCGGAUUUACUGGGGGUAAAGGGAGCGUAGACGGCAGCACAAGUCUGGAGUGAAAUCCCGGGGCUUAACCCCGGCACUGCUUUGGAAACUGUGCGACUGGAGUGCAGGAGGGGUAAGCGGAAUUCCUGGUGUAGCGGUGAAAUGCGUAGAUAUUAGGAGGAACACGGGUGGCGAAGGCGGCUUACUGGACUGUAACUGACGUUGAGGCUCGAAAGCGUGGGGAGCGAACAGGAUUAGAUACCCCAGUAGUC